UGGGGAAUUUUGGACAAUGGGCGAAAGCCUGAUCCAGCAAUGCCGCGUGUGUGAAGAAGGCCUUCGGGUUGUAAAGCACUUUUGUCCGGAAAGAAAUCCUUGGCUCUAAUACAGUCGGGGGAUGACGGUACCGGAAGAAUAAGCACCGGCUAACUACGUGCCAGCAGCCGCGGUAAUACGUAGGGUGCAAGCGUUAAUCGGAAUUACUGGGCGUAAGCGUGCGCAGGCGGUUUGCUAAGACCGAUGUGAAAUCCCCGGGCUCAACCUGGGAACUGCAUUGGUGACUGGCAGGCUAGAGUAUGGCAGAGGGGGGUAGAAUUCCACGUGUAGCAGUGAAAUGCGUAGAGAUGUGGAGGAAUACCGAUGGCGAAGGCAGCCCCCUGGGCCAAUACUGACGCUCAUGCACGAAAGCGUGGGGAGCAAACAGGAUUAGAUACCCUGGUAGUCCACGCCCUAAACGAUGUCAACUAGUUGUUGGGGAUUCAUUUCCUUAGUAACGUAGCUAACGCGUGAAGUUGACCGCCUGGGGAGUACGGUCGCAAGAUUAAAACUUAAAGGAAUUGAC
rnacentral:rRNA from 1 species